GAUGAACGCUGGCGGCGUGCCUAAUACAUGCAAGUCGAGCGAACAGACGAGGAGCUUGCUCCUCUGACGUUAGCGGCGGACGGGGGAGUAACACGUGGAUAACCUACCUAUAAGACUGGGAUAACUUCGGGAAACCGGAGCGAAUACCGGAUAAUAUAUUGAACCGCAUGGGUCAAUAGUGAAAGACGGGUUUGCUGUCACUUAUAGAGGGAUCCGCGCGGCAUUAGCUAGUUGGUAAGGUAACGGCCUACCAAGGCAACGAUGCGUAGCCGACCUGAGAGGGUGAUCGGCCACACUGGAACUGAGACACGGUCCAGACUCCUACGGGAGGCAGCAGUAGGGAAUCUUCCGCAAUGGGCGAAAGCCUGACGGAGCAACGCCGCGUGAGUGAUGAAGGUCUUCGGAUCGUAAAACUCUGUUAUUAGGGAAGAACAAAUGUGUAAGUAACUAUGCACGUCUUGACGGUACCUAAUCAGAAAGCCACGGCUAACUACGUG
rnacentral:rRNA from 1 species